UACGAAGGGGGCUAGCGUUGUUCGGAAUUACUUGGCGUAAAGCGCACGUAGGCGGACUAUUAAGUCAGGGGUGAAAUCCCGGGGCUCAACCCCGGAACUGCCUUUGAUACUGGUAGUCUCGAGUCCGGAAGAGGUGAGUGGAAUUCCGAGUGUAGAGGUGAAAUUCGUAGAUAUUCGGAGGAACACCAGUGGCGAAGGCGGCUCACUGGUCCGGUACUGACGCUGAGGUGCGAAAGCGUGGGGAGCAAACAGG
rnacentral:rRNA from 1 species